rnacentral:rRNA from 1 species
GGAUAAGACAUGCAAGUCGAACGAGAGAAUUGCUAGCUUGCUAAUAAUUCUCUAGUGGCGCACGGGUGAGUAACACGUGAGUAACCUGCCCCCGAGAGCGGGAUAGCCCUGGGAAACUGGGAUUAAUACCGCAUAGUAUCGAAAGAUUAAAGCAGCAAUGCGCUUGGGGAUGGGCUCGCGGCCUAUUAGUUAGUUGGUGAGGUAACGGCUCACCAAGGCGAUGACGGGUAGCCGGUCUGAGAGGAUGUCCGGCCACACUGGAACUGAGACACGGUCCAGACACCUACGGGUGGCAGCAGUCGAGAAUCAUUCACAAUGGGGGAAACCCUGAUGGUGCGACGCCGCGUGGGGGAAUGAAGGUCUUCGGAUUGUAAACCCCUGUCAUGUGGGAGCAAAUUAAAAAGAUAGUACCACAAGAGGAAGAGACGGCUAACUCUGUGCCAGCAGCCGCGGUAAUACAGAGGUCUCAAGCGUUGUUCGGAAUCACUGGGCGUAAAGCGUGCGUAGGCUGUUUCGUAAGUCGUGUGUGAAAGGCGCGGGCUCAACCCGCGGACGGCACAUGAUACUGCGAGACUAGAGUAAUGGAGGGGGAACCGGAAUUCUCGGUGUAGCAGUGAAAUGCGUAGAUAUCGAGAGGAACACUCGUGGCGAAGGCGGGUUCCUGGACAUUAACUGACGCUGAGGCACGAAGGCCAGGGGAGCGAAAGGGAUUAGAUACCCCUGUAGUCCUGGCAGUAAACGGUGCACGCUUGGUGUGCGGGGAAUCGACCCCCUGCGUGCCGGAGCUAACGCGUUAAGCGUGCCGCCUGGGGAGUACGGUCGCAAGAUUAAAACUCAAAGAAAUUGACGGGGACCCGCACAAGCGGUGGAGUAUGUGGCUUAAUUCGAUGCAACGCGAAGAACCUUACCUGGGCUUGACAUGUAAUGAACAACAUGUGAAAGCAUGCGACUCUUCGGAGGCGUUACACAGGUGCUGCAUGGCCGUCGUCAGCUCGUGUCGUGAGAUGUUUGGUUAAGUCCAGCAACGAGCGCAACCCCUGUUGCCAGUUACCAGCACGUGAAGGUGGGGACUCUGGCGAGACUGCCCAGAUCAACUGGGAGGAAGGUGGGGACGACGUCAGGUCAGUAUGGCCCUUAUGCCCAGGGCUGCACACGUACUACAAUGCCCAGUACAGAGGGGGCCGAAGCCGCGAGGCGGAGGAAAUCCUGAAAACUGGGCCCAGUUCGGACUGUAGGCUGCAACCCGCCUACACGAAGCCGGAAUCGCUAGUAAUGGCGCAUCAGCUACGGCGCCGUGAAUACGUUCCCGGGUCUUGUACACACCGCCCGUCACAUCAUGGAAGCCGGUCGCACCCGAAGUAUCUGAAGCCAACCGCAAGGAGGCAGGGUCCUAAGGUGAGACUGGUAACUGGGAUGAAGUG